UCCCUUGUGGUGUAACGGCUAGCACACGACGCUCUCACCGUCGAGACCGGGGUUCAACUCCCCGCAAGGGAG
rnacentral:tRNA from 1 species